UAGGGAAUCUUCCACAAUGGACGCAAGUCUGAUGGAGCAACGCCGCGUGAGUGAAGAAGGUUUUCGGAUCGUAAAGCUCUGUUGUUGGUGAAGAAGGAUAGAGGUAGUAACUGGCCUUUAUUUGACGGUAAUCAACCAGAAAGUCACGGCUAACUACGUGCCAGCAGCCGCGGUAAUACGUAGGUGGCAAGCGUUGUCCGGAUUUAUUGGGCGUAAAGCGAGCGCAGGCGGAAGAAUAAGUCUGAUGUGAAAGCCCUAGGCUUAACCGAGGAACUGCAUCGGAAACUGUUUUUCUUGAGUGCAGAAGAGGGGAGUGGAAUUCCAUGUGUAGCGGUGGAAUGCGUAGAUAUAUGGAAGAACACCAGUGGCGAAGGCGACUCUCUGGUCUGCAACUGACGCUGAGGCUCGAAAGCAUGGGUAGCGAACAGG
rnacentral:rRNA from 1 species